rnacentral:rRNA from 1 species
AAUGAAGCGGGCAGAGCUCACGCCGGAAAUCCGGAGGCCUCUUACAGCCGCCUCCUGAAUUGUAGUCUGGAGAGGUGCCAUCGGUCCCCCUCGGCGCCAAAAUCCCUUGGAACGGGGUAUCGGAGAAGGUGAGAAUCCUGUCAAGCGCCGGAGUGGGACCGUACGAUGUGCUCUCGUAGAGUCGGGCUGCUUGGGAGUGCAGCCUGAAGCGGGUGGUAAAUUCCAUCUAAAGCUAAAUACUGGCGGGAGACCGAUAGCGAACAAGUACCGUGAGGGAAAGAUGCAAAGAACUUUGAAAAGAGAGUUAAAGAGUGCUUGAAAUUGGCAGGAGGAAACCCGGUUGCGCGUGGCAUUUGGCGUGGUCGACUCAGCCGCGCGCGGAGAUCUGUAGGGGACCUAACGGCCUCGUGGUCAGCGCGCGCGGUGCACUUCGGCCGCGUCGGUCAGCCGCGUUUCUGCGCGGCCCAUACGGCCGUGGGCAGGGCUUCGGCGCCGCCUGCGGUUUGGGGGUCGCGCGGGAUCCCGGCUGAUGCGCACGGGCGCAACCGACCCG